rnacentral:rRNA from 1 species
GACAGAGGUCCCGAGCGUUAGGCGGAAUCACUGGGCUUAAAGAGCGCGCAGGCGGUCGAUCAAGUCGAGUGUGAAAGCCCCCGGCUCAACUGGGGAGGGUCAUUCGAUACUGAUCGACUCGAAGGCAGGAGAGGGUAGUGGAAUUCCCGGUGUAGUGGUGAAAUGCGUAGAUAUCGGGAGGAACACCAGUGGCGAAGGCGACUACCUGGCCCAACAUUGACGCUGAGACCCGAAAGCGUGGGGAUCAAACAGG